rnacentral:rRNA from 1 species
AUUGAACGCUGGCGGCAGGCCUAACACAUGCAAGUCGAACGAGUGGCGGAGGGGUGAGUAAUGUCUGGGAAACUGCCUGGUGGGGGGGGAUAAAUACUGGAAACGGUCGCUAAUACCGCAUACCCUCAGAUGUGCACAGAUGGGAUUAGCUAGUAGGUGGGGUAACGGCUCACCUAGGCGACGAUCCCUAGCUGGUCUGAGAGGAUGACCAGCCACACUGGAACUGAGACACGGUCCAGACUCCUACGGGAGGCAGCAGUGGGGAAUAUUGCACAAUGGGCGCAAGCCUGAUGCAGCCAUGCCGCGUGUAUGAAGAAGGCCUUCGGGUUGUAAAGUACUUUCAGCGGGGAGGCGUUACCCGCAGAAGAAGCACCGGCUAACUCCGUGCCAGCAGCCGCGGUAAUAC